rnacentral:lncRNA from 1 species
UAAAAGUCACCUUCCUACCCCAUACCUGGCAUACCUUUUUAAAUUAUUAUUAUUAUUAUUAUUAUUAUUAAUUUAAAGGACUUUUUUCUUUCUUUCUUUUUUUUUUGGUUGGUUUGGUUUGGUUUGGGGGAUUUUUUUUUUGGUUUUUUGGUUUUUUUGAGACAGGAUUUCUCUGUGUAGCCCAGGCUGUUCUAGAACUAUUCUGUAGACCAGGUUGGCCUCGAACUCAAGAGUUCCACCUGCCUCUGCCUCCAGAGUCCUGGGAUUAAAGGUGUGUGCUGCCACUGCCUGACCAUACAUGUUUCUUAAAGCAAGUAAUGUUUAGGCCCAUUUUCUGUUUGAAUAAUUGUUAUCAGUUCUUCUAGAACAUUCUCCUGUCACUGAUCCAUCUAGGAAAGCACUUGAGCUUUGAAAGGACAAGGGUGGUGAAAUUUGCAUGAGAGAGAAUAAAUUUCUUUCAGAAAGAUCCUGAGGAAGACACAUGAUCCAAUCGCUUGUUGCUCAGAAGUUCAAGGAAACAAGUGGAGUGGCGUCCCCUGGCUCUUUCUAGGAUGAGUGUGUGUGUGUGUGUGUGUGUGUGUGUGUGUGUGUGUGUGUGUGUGUGUGAAGGCAGCUCCUGAGACAACAUGUAACAUGCCUACAGAAAUACCACUCUUAGGACACUCCUUUAAAAAAAAUGUUAAUCUACUUUGUAAACCAGUAACUCCCAGACUUUCUUGAGGCUUUGUUUUUGUUUGGUUGGUUUUUAGAUUUUAAAACAUUCUAUUCACUUUGAAAUGUACUAUAUGUGUUAUAUGUAUAUAUAAGUUAUAGUGACUUGAACUCUGUUUGGCAUAGGCUGAGAACUAUUGUUGGUAGCAUAGAGUGUACAGAGCAGCCGCUGACUGUCACCAUCUGAGAGCAGGAUACAGAAGGGAGUUUGGUUCCUCAGCAGUGAAUGCCCAGGUGCUUGAGCAAUGGCCCAGCCAGCCUCAGUGAGGACGGCAAGCCACCCAAGGAGAGGAGAAGAGAAACUGACCCGCUGUCCCAGCACACAGGUUUAAUUUUGUACUCUUUCAUUUCUUUAUCAAAUGACCUCAUUAUUCCCUAAAAAGUCUUGGAACUGAAAACCAGACUGAACUGUCGGUGCAGUGGCAUUUCCACAGCUGUGCUUCGGGGGUUCUGUCCUCUGUGUGUGGUGCAAGUAUUUAGAAUUAAUAGCAUGGAUAUGUCAUGUCCAAACCCUCAAGGGAAAAUUACCAAUUUCCACUUAACCAACAGAUGAAAUGCUAGUUAACUCAAUGCCCACUAUCCUGCAGAAAAGCUACAGUCAGUAGUAAAGGGUGGGGUUGGCUGGUGCUGAUACUCCUUAGUCGUAUAGACCAACUCAAGCAACAGCAGCAUUAUUUACUGGGUCACACCUGGGAGGAACUUAGCUUCCAAAUUUGGUUUUUGCUUUUCAUCUCCAGGGCCUUAAUAAGAGUGUGUUAAUACACAUGACUAUUUUACAGAUAAUUCAAAAUAAUUUAUUUUUUAUUUGAAGAAAGCGAAAUCCACC